GUGAGGAAUAUUGGUCAAUGGACGAGAGUCUGAACCAGCCAAGUCGCGUGAAGGAAGACGGUUCUAUGAAUUGUAAACUUCUUUUGUGCAGGAAUAAAGUGGGUUACGUGUAACCUUUUGUAUGUACUGUACGAAUAAGGAUCGGCUAACUCCGUGCCAGCAGCCGCGGUAAUACGGAGGAUCCGAGCGUUAUCCGGAUUUAUUGGGUUUAAAGGGUGCGUAGGUGGAUUGAUAAGUCAGCGGUGAAAGUUUGCAGCUUAACUGUAAAAUUGCCGUUGAAACUGUCGGUCUUGAGUGCAAAUGAGGUAGGCUGAAUGUGUUGUGUAGCGGUGAAAUGCUUAGAUAUAACACAGAACUCCGAUUGCGAAGGCAGCUUACUGGGAUGCAACUGACACUGAUGCACGAAAGCGUGGGUAUCAAACAGGAUUAGAAACCCGUGUAGUCC
rnacentral:rRNA from 1 species